rnacentral:lncRNA from 1 species
UCACACUUUAUCAUGUAAAUGCAUAUUUACAAAAUUUUAAAAAGGUGGAUUAUGCAAACUAUUGUAGGGACAUACAAAAAAAAUGUAGAUUAUUUACCAGCCAGAAAAUUAUGCAUUUAAAAACAUGUUGAAACGCUUACUCUUCACGUGAAAAACCCUAAGUGCUCCUCCUCACUGGAAUGGUUGAUCACACCAGUGUGUGCUUUAUUUAGACAAAAUAACAGACAACUUCAGUUCCUGUUCCCUGCAGGAGGUGAGGCUGGGCGUGGGCACUGUCCUGGCCUAGCGGCUCUCAGGACAGCCGGUGCCGUGGCAGAGCAGCCACGUGGCCCGAGAGGCGCGCGGGGGGCCGGGGGCCG